ACAAUAAAGGUCGGUGUAAACCGGGAUCGCUAUACAAUAGACGUGGCUUCCCAUUGGAACAAACACGUGACUCUUAGUUUGAAAACUACUUUGAAUUAUGAAUUUUUCCAACACUUAAGCUUGAAAAUAGGCCAUUGAAGGACAAAAUAGUGAAAUAUGAACAAUAAGGCCCAGAAAACAUCAUGAACACCUCGAGAGGAACCAAUGUAAAUUAUGAAAACUUAUAAUUUAAUUGAGUGAGAUAAUAUUUAUUUUUAAUCAUACCUUCCAAAUAAGUAUGAUUAUAUAUUUUAUUAUUCAAAGUGUUGACAUCAUAAUUUUAUUAGUUCCACGAUGGUUCGUGAAGAAAAUUCAUGAGAAAAUAUGGUUCUUGAAUCAUUUUAUUUUAUUUUUUAAUCUUUUAGAAAUUAAAAUAUUAGUAUGAUUGAUGUAUACAUCUUAUGACAAGACUAGAAAGCACUUUGUGCUUCAUAAACUGUGUGAAGUUGCUAUUGUUAUGCUUCUAAUUAUGCCCAAAGCUCCUUAUGUUUGGUAUGAUGCCUUAGGUUGAAUCCUCCAAAUAUUAUUAUAAUAAGUAGGUUUACAAUUCAUUGAUUUAUAAGUUCAUAUAUAAGGUAUAUAUUUUGAAUUUACCCUCCUCUACUUUUAUAUUGUGCUUUCAUGUUUCAGUAUAAUUUGAAAAUCAAACCAAACAUGAAAUUUGAAAAUCAAAUUUGAACACCAGAGACAACGCUUAUGUUAGGUAACAGAUUCUUCUCAUGGAGAAGGAAAUUUUGGGAAAGCUGGAAUGAUAUAUUAGCAGAGUUACAAAGGAGAGAGAAAGAAGCAAAUAUUAAACCUGAUGUUGAUAUUGAAAUCUUCAUGAAGGUAAUAAAUGAGUGCUACCAACUUUGAAGAAUUUCCUAACAAAUGAUGUUUUGUGUUGAUACUAGUUGUUUUUAUAAACGAUUGUAUGAGUUCUCUUCUUAUGACUUGAAUAAUAAUAAUAACAUAGAUAAAGCAAGAAAUGUUUGAAUUUGAAUUCACUGGGUUCUAUUAAAAAUAGAGUUUAUAAUGUGUAGUUUCAUCUUUAGGUGAAUUUCAUGCUCCAAAAUUAUUAGUGUAGUUAAGGUGUUCUCUUCAACAUUUAGACGCAUUUCUGUUUUUAGAUUCUUUUAAGUCCCAUUGGAUUGAAGAUUUUGUUGAAAACAUGGGAUCACUGAACUUCUGAAUGUGGUGUUUAUGCAUGAAGUUAGGUUGUAGAAAAAGUAUUGCGGUUUGAAAACCAAGUAGAAAAAUGCACUUUUCUAAUACUUAGGCUUAAAAAUAGGUCAUCGGGUGCCAAAAUCGUGAAAUACCCAUGAGAAGGCCACGGGAACACCCCGAACACCUCAGGAGGGAUCAAUGUAAGUUGUGAAAACUUGUGGAACUAGCACGGGACUCCCAGUUUGAAAACUAAUUAGAAAAAUGCACUUUUCCAACACUUAGGCUUGAAAAUAGGCCAUCGGGGGUCAAAAUCGUGAUCCACCCACAAGAAAGCCAC